GACAGAGGUGGCAAGCGUUGCUCGGAGUUACUGGGCUUAAAGGGCGCGUAGGCGGUCGUGCACGUCGGAGGUGAAAUCCCCGGGCCUAACCCGGGAACUGCCCCCGAUACGGCGCGGCUAGAGUGCGGGAGGGGAGAGUGGAACUCCUGGUGGAGCGGUGAAAUGCGUAGAUAUCAGGAGGAACGCCGGUGGCGAAAGCGACUCUCUGGUCCGCAACUGACGCUGAGGCGCGAAAGCCAGGGGAGCAAACGGGAUUAGAAACCCCCGUAGUCC
rnacentral:rRNA from 1 species